GGCCUCCCGGGCGCGGACAGCAGCGGAGGCCGCCAGGAGCGGACAGGAUGCGCCUGUGACGGGAACCUCCGCCGCGGUGAGGUUCAGGAAUCUUCAGUGAUGACCAGCUCCUCCCAGCGUAUCCAGAUAAUCUCCACCGACUCCACCAUCUCCACUCCGCAGCGCAUCCAGAUUGUGACCGACCAACAGACCGGGCAGAAGAUCCAGAUUGUGACGGCUGUAGAUUCCACUGUGUCGCCCAAGCAGCAGUUUAUCCUGACCGGUCCUGAUGGGUCUGGGGCAGGGAAGGUGAUACUGGCUACUCCAGAGUCUCCCAGUGCCAAGCAGCUUAUCUUCACCACCGAGAACAUUGUGCCAGGGAGGAUACAGAUAGUAACCGAUGCAGCCUCUGUGGAGCGACUGCUGGGAAAGGCGGAAGUGCAGCGGCCGCAGAUUGUAGAGUACUGCGUAGUGUGCGGGGACAAAGCAUCAGGUCGUCAUUAUGGUGCUGUUAGCUGUGAAGGAUGUAAAGGCUUCUUUAAAAGGAGCGUCCGAAAGAGCCUGACCUAUAGCUGUCGCAGCAGCCAGGACUGCGUCAUCAACAAACAUCACCGGAACCGAUGCCAAUUUUGCCGUCUUAAGAAAUGCUUAGAAAUGGGCAUGAAAAUGGAAUCGGUGCAGAGUGAAAGGAAACCUUUUGACAUCCAGCGGGAGAAACCCACAAACUGCGCAGCAUCGACGGAAAAGAUCUACAUCCGAAAGGACCUGAGGAGCCCUCUCAUAGCAACCCCAACAUUUGUAUCUGACAAAGAUGGCGGGAGACAAGCAGGACUACUAGAUCCAGGGAUGUUGGUGAAUAUUCAGCAGCCCGUCAUCCGAGAUGACGGCACCGUGGUCCUGUCGGCAGAUUCCAAGACGGAAACAAGUCAGAGCGGGCUGGGAACACUCGCAAACGUUGUGACUUCGCUCGCCAACCUGUCCGAGUCACUGAGUAACGGGGACACAUCGGAUGUCCAACCAGAGGACCAAUUCUCCAGUGAGAUCACUCAGGCAUUUGAUACCUUAGCAAAAGCACUUAACACAACAGAUGGCACUGCUGGACAGAACCUGACGGAUGGUAUGGACACUGCAACAGGAGGGAACAUUCAUGUAAUUAGUCGGGAUCAAGCCACCCCUAUACUUGAGGUGGAGGGACCCCUUCUGUCAGACACCCAUGUCACAUUUAAGCUAACUAUGCCCAGCCCCAUGCCAGAAUACCUGAAUGUGCACUAUAUCUGUGAGUCGGCGUCUCGCUUGCUCUUCCUGUCCAUGCACUGGGCACGGUCCAUCCCUGCCUUCCAAGCCCUGGGGCAGGAGUGUAACACAAGUCUCGUGCGUGCCUGCUGGAAUGAGCUUUUCACGCUGGGCCUUGCGCAGUGUUCACAAGUGAUGAGCCUCUCCACCAUUUUGGCGGCCAUUGUUAACCAUCUGCAGAACAGCAUCCAGGAAGACAAGCUUUCUGGCGACAGAAUAAAGCAGGUGAUGGAGCACAUAUGGAAACUCCAGGAGUUCUGUAACAGCAUGGCCAAACUGGACAUUGACGGAUAUGAAUACGCCUAUCUGAAGGCUGUGGUUCUCUUCAGUCCAGAUCACCCGGGUCUCUCCGGAACGCAACAGAUUGAGAAGUUUCAGGAAAAGGCACAAAUGGAGCUUCAGGACUAUGUGCAGAAAACCUACCCAGAAGACACCUACAGACUGGCCCGAAUCCUGGUACGCCUCCCGGCUCUCAGGCUCAUGAGCUCCAACAUCACAGAGGAACUUUUUUUUACCGGCCUUAUCGGCAACGUCCCCAUCGAUAGCAUAAUCCCGUACAUCCUGAAGAUGGAGACCGCAGAAUACAACGGGCAGAUCACCGGGACCAGCGUAUAGCCGGAACUAGCUACUCUCGCACGGAUCAAGCACUUUUAAAACGUACUCUUUUUAGGGUGUGAGAAUGCGCAGUCACAUUUGGGGGAACACCUACACAGACCCCCAUUGAGGAGAACAUGCUGCACCCCCCUAUAACCCCUCAGCCAAUGAACGUUCAUUAGCCGUGACCCUUUCCCACUUUACCUGGACAGCAAUGCAGUAUAUACAGCCAUAAGCAGAUAAUCAGGCCGGAAAUGCAAUUGGCAAAUUGUUUCUCUGCAGCUGAGACCGUUUACAAAGCAGCUGCACGGGGAGACUGACAGACACGGAGCAGGUUAUUGCAGCGAACCAGUUACCCAUGCACAGCGGGAGCAGCCAUGUUGUAUCUGAGAAUGCGUUCUGUCUAGUGACAUCAUAGGGUUAAAUUCAUUAGACGUGAGCUUGCCGCGAAUUGCUUAACAUGGCUUAGAUGUCUGCAGUCGCAACUUUUUGUUAAUCAGUUAGAAAUCCACGUUAAUUGCGGCUUUUAGCUGGCACCUCCAGAGUGGGUGAAAAGUGGGAAAAUAAAUUGUUAUGGCAAAGAUGUCCGGACACAGUGAAGUACCCCUCGGACGUCCCUCCCAAUAAAUAAUAAUGUAUUUAGACAUUUGUAAAUACGUAAAUAUGGCCAAUAAAGACAUGUCAUUUUCUCUUAAACAGAAUAAUGGGCUAAAUGAUAUGGGACUUGUGUAUAGAGGUGUUGUAUGGAUGUGAAGUAGGUUUUUGAACUUCCAGGUGGGGAUUACAAGUGCUUUUCCCAAACUUCUCUAUAGACACUUUUUAAUUCACUUUAUAGACGUUUUAAUGCAUUCCAAAAUACUGUAGACACAAUUAUUUGCUGAAAUACACUUGCUGGAUGUCAGCUUCCACAUUUACCAUGUAACAGUCUCCAAUACAAUGCUUAUGACCACUAACAGCCUCCUACACUGUUCUGGUACAUUAUUUGUGACUUUUUGGGGGUUCAGGAUGAUUUCCCUACAUUUUGUACGCUUACCCCGAGGUCUCCAACUGCACAAUCAUCGCUGCGUUACCGACAUGUUGCCGUUUGCAGUUAAACUUGCACGGAUGGCGGGAACAGGCUUGGUGAAAAUAGUCACCCGCGACUUCCGGCUACAGAACUCGUGGUUAAUUGAUUUCAGCCCCUUGUGAUUUUUUUUACUCCUAUAUCUUCUUGGCCAUUAGUUGAGCUUUGAAUAUGGCAGUGGAUAAGUGGAAUAGCCUCCUAUCAGGGGUGGUAGAGGCUAAGACAGUAGAGCAUUUUAAACAUGCAUGGGAUAGACAUAAGGAUAACCUUACAAAUAAUGAGGGAUCAAAUGGGUUGUGGGUACCAUAAUGUUAUAAAUAGGGGUUAGACUAGAUGGGCCGAGUGGUUCUUAUCUGCCGUCACAUUCUGUGUUACACUAUGUGGAGAUGUACAUUUUAAAAGCACUUUGAAAGUUUUGCAUAUCCACAGAACUGUCAAGAGAAUUUGCUUCUGGCUCUUGUAUAGAAACUUCUGUGAUAUUGGUGAGGUACUAGAAUGCUACUUAUCACUCUCCUUUUCUGUACUUAGGGGGUCAUUCAGACCUGAUCGCACGCUAGGUUUUUUCGCUGCGAUCAGGUCAGAACUGCACAUGCGUAUGCACCGCAAUGCGCAGGCGCGUCGUACGGGUACAAAGCGGUUCGUUGCUGAGCGAUGGAUUUAACGAAGAAUCCAUUCGCACAGCCGAUCGCAAGGAGAGUGACAGGAAGAAGGCGUUUGUGGGUGCCAACUGACCAUUUUCUGGGAGUCGUAGGGAAAACGCAGGCGCGUCCAAGCGUUUUCAGUGCGGGUGUCUGACGUCAAUUCCGGGCCCGGACAGGCUGAAGUGAUCGCAGCGGCUGAGUAAGUUCUGGGCAACUCAGAAAUGGCACAAAACGUUUUUGUACCGCUCGGCUACACAAGCGAUCGCACACUUGCAAAGCGAAAAUAC